GAGUUAGGCUCUGAGACUACCCAGCAGGUGAAGCUCUGGUUAACUAGCUCCCCCGAGGGCAGGCCUUGUUAAGAAGAGCUGAGUACUCUGGGAUAUUUCAAACUGGUUCCUUUUUCCCCUCACUCUGCUGGAAGCUGGAGAAGAUUUUUCUCCAAUAUUUUCUUAGGGAACCUGGUCAAGGUCUAGAAGGUAAAUCUCACCCUAUUGUGGGGUCCCCCUAUGAAUCAGUCUCUGUGGAGUUUUUGACUCUCAGACUUGUCUGGGCUGAGCCUCCAGUAAUUUGUCAGUUGGAGUUCCCGGUUUCCUGCCCGGCUUUUGGUCCCCAAGUUCUUUGAAAACAACUCUGGAAUGCUAAUUGCCGGAGAUCUGUCAGGAGCAAGGAGAACACAGAUUUGAUUUGGUUUCAGUUCAUUCGUGCUCCACCCAAUGCUGGAUUCAGGCAAUGGAAGGUCUGGCUGAAGACUGGAUGGGGGUCAGGGUGCUGCGCACUGUGCCUGGUACAUAAAUAAGAAGAAUACUUUCAAUCAAUGACUUUGUUGCCACCUUCACCUGCCCAGAGGAGAGGAGGACUUCCUGAGUGCAAACAUAUUUUGUGGGGCCUUUGUUGAAAAAAAAAAAAAAACAAUGGAAAGAAUGGAAUACUUGGAAAACACAUAUUUUAAACGGUUGGACAAAGAUAGCUGGUGCAUUUUUUUCUUCCUGCCAAGCCGUUUCCAUUUAGGAUUCAACAAAACCACAGUUCGACAUUGGAUUUAGAACCAAAUUUUCAAAGAAACACAUUGCCGGGGAACAUGCGCGGGAUUCCCACUGAUAAUCGCAUAAAACACGAAAGGAUGGAAUCUGACUGCCCAGUAUGGUUUCUCCUUCUGGCAUAUCAGAUGUGCCAUUCUUGAGAUACUGCUGUCCUUGGAAUCAUGGCUUCACAUCUGAAAAGGGGCAACAGGAUUAAGUAACAGUUUGGGUCUCUCUUUGACGUCUUCCCUUGACAAGUGUUAAAUGUUGCCAUUCUCUUGACAGUUCAAGAGCUAGUCAUGUGGUUGGUAUUUUACCAAUGAGAUAAAUGGGAAAAACGUCACUCUUCCUUUAAUCAGUUCUGUCAGUACAAACUUGGCAAGAAAUAAUAGUAAGGAGAUAUUGGCAUUGAGGCCUGUUCAUAUUUACUUUUGUGAUUUAGGAUUAUGAUGACUUUCGUGUAGCCUCACAGUGACCCUGUCUGGUUUGGAAAUUCUGAAGUUAGAAUGUCAAACCUCUUUCCCAUUCCUGCAGACAGAGGCAGCAACACUCACCAAACACUGGAGUUUUGGUCAGAUGCAUCCGUGCAUCCAUGCAAAACAUUUUAUUUUAUAUUAACCGAUUGAUAUUUGUGACUCAUAGAAAAAUAGGUCUCUCAUUUUCUUUUCCUGGCAAAGUUUGCUGCAUAAUUUGAUUUGUGUUUUGUUUUUUGUUUUUGUUUUUUCAACCCUUCCCUGUGUUUUGUGUGAUCAAAGAUAUUGUUUUCAAGCCUAAAAUAAAGGGAGCUGGUCUCUUGUCUUAUCAGAGAACGGAACACAUGUAUGACUGUGGCUUUUUACUUUUCUGGUUCAAAUCACUAGAAUUCAGAACUUAGCUUUGGGAUUGUAUUACUAGAAAAACCAAUGAAGAAUUAGUUUCUUAC
rnacentral:lncRNA from 1 species